rnacentral:misc_RNA from 1 species
UCUCCGUUGGUGAGCCAGCGGAGGGAUCAUUACCGAGUUUAUAACUCCCAAACCCUAUGUGAACUUACCACUUGUUGCUUCGGCGCGCGCUUCGGUGCCGCCGAGGACACUUAAACUCUUUGUUUUUAUAAGCAUUUCUGAGUGGCCGAAAGGCAAAAUACAAAUGAAUCAAAACUUUCAACAACGGAUCUCUUGGUUCUG